CCUGUUUCAGUUCUUGAAACUCCUUUCCCAGAUGAUCUAUCUUCAAGUUCUGAAUGCUUUGAGAGUCUCAGUGCUGACCUACAUGGACUUCGGAUGCAGCUUCAGCUACUCAAAUUGGAGUCGGAAGCAUAUGCAGAGGGUCCCAUACACAUCUCAAGCGAUGAAGAUGUUGAGGAUGGCUAUGUUGGAUUUUCAGAAGAGAAAGGAAUUGUUGAACAGAGCAGGGAACGUUCCUAUGUAGUUGAUGUACUACUAGAAUCGGGUAUUAAUAGUGCUGAUCCUGAUUCUUUCUUGGCGUCGUGGCACUGUCCAGAGUGCCCCGUGAAUCCCCUGGUAUUUGAAGGACUGGAGAAGAAGCAUUGCAAUCUCACUUCUUGGCCAAGGUCUGAAAGGAAGCUGCUAUUUGACCGCAUAAAUUCAUCUCUGCUCAUGAUUAACCAACAAUUUGCGGAUCCAUACUUGUGGGUGAGGCCUGCAACUGCGAUCAUUCCCAGGUGGAUUAAACAUGGACUUGAGGAUGGCAUCCACAAAUUGCUGGCAAGCCAAGAAAAGAAAGCAAAUAACAAUGCAGUGGAGAAGGUACUGGUAAUGGAUUCACAGUGGCUGGAUUUGAGAGGUGAAAUUGAUGUAGUUGGCAGGGAAAUUGAGAGACUG
rnacentral:misc_RNA from 1 species